AACAUUCAGACGCAGACAUAACAGGGGAUAACAAAUGUGAAACUGUAAUGGAAAACAAUAACCAAGGAUGUAUGAAAAUGAAGAAAUAACAAGAAUAAACAUUAAUACAAACAGGACAGAUACAGAAACAGGUCAAAACAGGUAUCAAUAUGAAAACGCUGGAGAGUAUGGAAUAAACACAUAACAAUCUGGCAACUAACUGCACAAACAGAGGGGUUUUUAUUCACAAGUAACGAGAGGGAAUGGGAAUCAGGUGGGGAAACGAUCAGGAAGUGAAACAGGUGAAACGAAUGAAUGAAGUGACAGGGAGACAAUGGUGUGCAUGGAGGUAACAAAAACAUGAAAACGCUAACAACAUAGGCUGAAUACAGAACAUGAAAAACACAAAACCUAACACCUUCACCGAAUGAGCCAUCCAGCAGCUGAGCACUGCUUUUAAAAGUGAACUUAAUGCAGAUCAAAUAUACAUUAUUCUGUCAUUCAUAUUAUAAUAUAUCAUAUUUUCUUUUUUCUCUUUAAGCAGCAUUGUGAAUGAAAAUUGAUUUGGAUGGAUGUUGCCAGACAUCUUUGGCCAAUUCCCCUGUAACCAGGCAAUUAUGCUGUUCGUAAAAUGUCAUUAACAUGAAAUCUACCCCAUACAGUAAAUGAUUGAGGUCUGCAGAGACAUACUGUGUAAACACAUUCUCUCUCUACUCUGAUUUUCACGUCUACAGGUUGUCUAGAAGGCUGAAGGUGAGUCUCUCCAUCCUUUCCUCCUCUUCCUCUUCUGAAACACACUGACUGCAGCUCAGCCUGAUUUCUCCUGUAUGUUACAUUUGCACCAUCUGUGUGACUUUUCCUUUAAAGGGAGGGAGGGACGGUGACACAUACGGCAGUCUGCAGCUCGCCAUCAUCAGCCCUGAAUAUGACGUGCUGCAGGUUAAAAACAAACACCAGAAAGACACUGUGACCGCACAAGAAGAGGCUGAUGACUACCAGAACAUUGGAGAUGGAAACUGAGACAGACGCAGUGGCUCAUUAAAACUAUGAGCUUGUUGUGUUUCCUUAAAAUCUGGUGUCUUUAAAAGCAACCGCUGAAUGUAGAGGGUCACGUUUAUUUAUGUCCAAAGGAUAUUUUAUGAUAUGAGGAGGUGAUUAUAUUGUAUUCAACCUGCAGAGAAAAACUUCCUCUGAGGGUAAUUGGGUAAUUUUUUCCAUCCCAAUUUUUCCUGCUCUUUACAGAAUCCAUUUUCCACACAGUGCUUUCUUUAAAAUUUCCCAAGUUUGACUUUUAAUUUAUUUAAUUGAUGUAUACUGUAGGUUGUCAACUUAAGUUAACAAGUUUUGAGAACAUCAAAUCAAUUUUGCAUCAUGAAUUUUCAAAGACUGCACUGGGGCAGCAUAACAGUACAUUUGAAGUAUCCAAAACCACAACGGCGUUGCUCUACUCUUUUUUUAAUCUUGUUUUCGUGAAUCUUUUCUCAAUUUCAUGUAGACUGUGUGUAUGAAGGAAUAAUAAAAACUUUACACUGGUUCAUGACAA